rnacentral:rRNA from 1 species
AAGGGGGGGGGGGGAAUUCCCAUGGGUUAGCGGUGAAAAUGGCGUAGAUAUUUGGAGGGAACCCCCAGGGGGGAAGGCGGGCUCUUCUGGUUCUGAAACUGACGCUGAGGCUCGAAAGCGUGGGGAGCAAACAGGAUUAGAUACCCCUGGUAGUCCACGCCGUAAACGAUGAGUGCUAAGUGUUGGAGGGUUUCCGCCCUUCAGUGCUGCAGCUAACGCAUUAAGCACUCCGCCUGGGGAGUACGACCGCAAGGUUGAAACUCAAAGGAAUUGACGGGGGCCCGCACAAGCGGUGGAGCAUGUGGUUUAAUUCGAAGCAACGCGAAGACCCUUCCCAGGUCUUGACAUCCUUUGACCACUCUAGAGAUAGAGCUUCCCCUUCGGGGGCAAAGUGACAGGUGGUGCAUGGUUGUCGUCAGCUCGUGUCGUGAGAUGUUGGGUUAAGUCCCGCAACGAGCGCAACCCUUAUUGUUAGUUGCCAUCAUUCAGUUGGGCACUCUAGCAAGACUGCCGGUGACAAACCGGAGGAAGGUGGGGAUGACGUCAAAUCAUCAUGCCCCUUAUGACCUGGGCUACACACGUGCUACAAUGGGAAGUACAACGAGUUGCGAAGUCGCGAGGCUAAGCUAAUCUCUUAAAGCUUCUCUCAGUUCGGAUUGCAGGCUGCAACUCGCCUGCAUGAAGCCGGAAUCGCUAGUAAUCGCGGAUCAGCACGCCGCGGUGAAUACGUUCCCGGGCCUUGUACACACCGCCCGUCACACCACGAGAGUUUGUAACACCCGAAGUCGGUGAGGUAACCUUUUGGAGCCAGCCGCCUAAGGUGGGAUAGAUGACGAGUUCACAAGGCCCC